rnacentral:rRNA from 1 species
UACGGAGGGUGCAAGCGUUGCUCGGAAUUAUUGGGCGUAAAGGGUAGGUAGGUGGUCUCAUUUGUCUGGGGUGAAAGCCUUGAGCUUAACUCAAGAAGUGCCCUAGAAACGGUGAGACUAGAGUUCUGGAGAGGGUCGUGGAAUUCCCGGUGUAGCGGUGAAAUGCGUAGAGAUCGGGAGGAACACCAGAGGCGAAGGCGGCGACCUGGACAGUUACUGACACUGAGGCACGAAGGCCAGGGGAGCAAACGGG